rnacentral:rRNA from 1 species
GACGAACGCUGGCGGCGUGCUUAACACAUGCAAGUCGAACGGUGAAGGGACCGGUUUUUGCUGGUUCUGGAUGAGUGGCGAACGGGUGAGUAACACGUGAGUAACCUGCCCCCUUCUUCUGGAUAACCGCAUGAAAGUGUGGCUAAUACGGGAUAUUCUGCGCCUGCUGCAUGGUGGGUGUGGGAAAGAUAUUGUUUCGGUGGGGGAUGGGCUCGCGGCCUAUCAGCUUGUUGGUGGGGUGAUGGCCUACCAAGGCGGUGACGGGUAGCCGGCCUGAGAGGGUGGACGGUCACACUGGGAGUGAGACACGGCCCAGACUCAUACGGGGGGCAGCAGUGGGGAAUAUGGCACAAUGGGCGAAAGCCUGAUGCAGCGACGCCGCGUGAGGGAUGGAGGCCUUCGGGUUGUAAACCUCUUUCGCCAGUGAAGCAGGCCUGUCCCUUUUGUGGGUGGGUUGACGGUAGCUGGAUAAGAAGCGCCGGCUAACUACGUG